CUUCUCUCUAGAGUACGCAUCAUUCACAUAGAAACAAAAAAAAUGGAAAAUAGGGGCGGGUUCAAAAGUUGCCCUUUCAAAACUUAAAUUCAUGAAAAUCUAUUUACUGUUAAAAUGAAUAACCAAGAGGGCCCAAUUAGUGACGUUUCAUUGGAUAAAGACAUGAGCUUGCAGAAAAAACCUACCAAGGUUUUCUCCGUUAUUUUGCUAGUCACUUUUUCAGCAUUGACCUGGCUGUCAUUUGCAAUUUGUCCCUCGUGUUUUCCAACGGCGGCUAUAAAAGUCUCUGAUAGCAAACAGAUCUGGGACACUGCUUUAUUUAGUUUAGGUUGCAGUCACCCAUGGAGCCAAGGGUUUUUACUCCGAGUGAGUGAUGUAUCAUUACUAAAGCAGUAGUAAAAUACGACAGCAGACUUUUUACAAAGGCAGAUUGCCAUGAAUCGAUUUCAAAUAUAGGAAAUAUAUUCAAUAAAAUAAUUAUGAAAUCAUAUCAUAAAAAACAAGGUCCACUGACAAAGUCACAGUAUUUAAUUGCAGGUAUUUAAUUUCAAGGCUGGCACGAUGAAUUCUCAAGCUGCACGGUCAUCUCCCACCUGGGAAAGACUAUUUUGUCGACUUGUGCAGGAGUGUCCGAGGCUGGGAGCCGUACGUUAGUUAGACGAACAGUUGGAAGACGGGUUGUACAGAAUCUGUUGAAUGAAAACCACAACAGCGCUGGUGAGGGCAGGUGUCUCAGUCUCGCGGCCGCAUCCUGCCCGCCGCAGGUGUCCGACUAGCGCCGCCGGACCGUCAGCGCCGCCCCCUCGCCGGGUACCGGUCGCCGGUCGGACCGUCAGCACCACACUUCAAUAUUAACCCCGAAGUUUAGUUUCUGACUCACCGAUCAGUCGAUUAUUUGUACGUAAAAUCCACCCGCCGCUGUUUCCUCGUGAAGACGUCGAUCACAGCGGUGUAAACUCGUCUCAGAUCGGUGAUAUCGUUGAACACCGCCGUCAUAUUGAAUUUCGCGGGGAUUAGCCUUACAACGUGGCUGGCGUAGUGACGUCACCGCGCAAAUGUCCAGCAAUAUCUCGAUUUUAAUUGGUCCAUGUGAAACGUAACGCAGAUGAUUACUUGUAUAACUUGCAAAGGCACAGCAGAGUUGUAAUUUUCGCCGUAACCCUGUGAGUGACUAAUAAUUGGCGCUAUAAACACAUAAAGUGUUCUCUUAUAGUGUGAGGCACUUAAACAAACAGACCAAAAAAAAUUGAAUCGAAAUCAUAUGUGCAAGUAUUUACUCAGAUACAUCAGACAUCUUUCCUCCAAGAUUCACAUGUUGCAUGUAAUAUAUUUCCACAAAUACAAGUUGAAGUAGUCUAAAAGAAAGGAUACGAAUUCCUGAAAACACAGGUCAUAGUGAACUUCGAGCUUAGUCCAGCACAUCGUUCAGUGCAACAUAUUAUCAUUCUACACUGUGCACAGACCACAACUGAUUUGAAUAGCAUUUAGUAAUAAAUAAUUUUAAAAAAUUGUAGCCAAAUGUUUUUUAGUGAUAGGGAUUCUGUUUGGGUCUCAAACAGACAACUCUGGUCAAAUGCUAUUCUUGUAUGGUCAGUUAAC
ensembl:lncRNA